GCACAAGCAGCGGAGCGUGUGGUUUAAUUCGUUGCUACACGAAGAACCUUACCUGGGUUUGACAUAUAAGUUGUAGGGAACUGAAAAGGGACGACCCUUCGGGGAGCUUAUACAGGUGUUGCAUGGCUGUCGUCAGCUCGUGUCGUGAGAUGUUCGGUUAAGUCCGCUAACGAGCGCAACCCUCGUCGUAUGUUACAAGUGUCAUACGAGACUGCCGGUAAAAAGCCGGAGGAAGGUGAGGAUGAUGUCAAGUCAGCAUGACCUUUAUAUCCAGGGCUACACACACGCUACAAUGGUCUGUACAAUGGGUAACCAAGCCGCGAGGCGGAGCCAAUCCUGGAAGCAGGCCUCAGUUCAGAUUGUAGUCUACAACUCGACUGCAUGAAGCCGGAGUUGCUAGUAACCGCAGGUCAGCAAUACUGCGGUGAAUACGUUCCCGGGUCUU
rnacentral:rRNA from 1 species